AGGACGAACGCUGGCGGCGUGCUUAACACAUGCAAGUCGAGCGGAAAGGCCCUUCGGGGUACUCGAGCGGCGAACGGGUGAGUAACACGUGAGUAAUCUGCCCCUAGCUCUGGGAUAGCUCCGGGAAACCGGGAUUAAUACCAGAUACGACCACUUUAGACAUCUGCUGUGGUGGAAAGAAUUUCGGCUAGGGAUGAGCUCGCGGCCUAUCAGCUUGUUGGUGAGGUAACGGCUCACCAAGGCGACGACGGGUAGCCGGCCUGAGAGGGCGACCGGCCACACUGGGACUGAGACACGGCCCAGACUCCUACGGGAGGCAGCAGUGGGGAAUAUUGCGCAAUGGGCGAAAGCCUGACGCAGCGACGCCGCGUGGGGGAUGGAAGGCCUUCGGGUUGUAAACCCUUUCAGCAGGGACGAAGCGAAAGUGACGGUACCUGCAGAAGAAGCGCCGGCUAACUACGUGCCAGCAGCCGC
rnacentral:rRNA from 1 species